rnacentral:rRNA from 1 species
UCCUUGUCGGGUAAGUUCCGACCUGCACGAAUGGCGUAAUGAUGGCCAGGCUGUCUCCACCCGAGACUCAGUGAAAUUGAACUCGCUGUGAAGAUGCAGUGUACCCGCGGCAAGACGGAAAGACCCCGUGAACCUUUACUAUAGCUUGACACUGAACAUUGAGCCUUGAUGUGUAGGAUAGGUGGGAGGCUUUGAAGCGUGGACGCCAGUCUGCGUGGAGCCAACCUUGAAAUACCACCCUUUAAUGUUUGAUGUUCUAACGUUGGCCCCUUACCGGGGUUGCGGACAGUGUCUGGUGGGUAGUUUGACUGGGGCGGUCUCCUCCCAAAGCGUAACGGAGGAGCACGAAGGUUAGCUAAUCCUGGUCGGACAUCAGGAGGUUAGUGCAAUGGCAUAAGCUAGCUUGACUGCGAGCGUGACGGCGCGAGCAGGUGCGAAAGCAGGUCAUAGUGAUCCGGUGGUUCUGAAUGGAAGGGCCAUCGCUCAACGGAUAAAAGGUACUCCGGGGAUAACAGGCUGAUACCGCCCAAGAGUUCAUAUCGACGGCGGUGUUUGGCACCUCGAUGUCGGCUCAUCACAUCCUGGGGCUGAAGUAGGUCCCAAGGGUAUGGCUGUUCGCCAUUUAAAGUGGUACGCGAGCUGGGUUUAGAACGUCGUGAGACAGUUCGGUCCCUAUCUGCCGUGGGCGCUGGAGAAUUGAGGGGGGCUGCUCCUAGUACGAGAGGACCGGAGUGGACGCAUCACUGGUGUUCGGGUUGUCAUGCCAAUGGCACUGCCCGGUAGCUAAAUGCGGAAGAGAUAAGUGCUGAAAGCAUCUAAGCACGAAACUUGCCCCGAGAUGAGUUCUCCCUGAGACUU